UCUCAGUUCAUGACCCCUUUAAAAAGAAAAUCUGUAUAGACUCUUCAUGAAAUGUUUAGUGUCAGGAAAGUGACCCUCCCAAUGCAAAUCAAAGCCCUGAAUGUCUGUUUAGUAUUUAUGUGCUGCUGAUUGGAUCUGAAGUGUUACAUCACCACUGUCAAGAUGAAGAAUGCACUCUGCUUACUGCUGCUCUCAUUCAGCCUACAACGCAUAAAAUGUCAAAGCAUGGAGUCCACUGAAAGCACAGUUCAGAAAAAGCCUGGAGAAACUCUGACUCUGUCCUGUAGAGGAUCUGGGUUCAGCUUUGGCUGCUGUAGCAUGCACUGGAUCAGACAACAAGCUGGAAAACCACUUGUGUGGAUGGGACGUGUUUCUAGUGACAGCAGUGUCUAUGACUACUCUGAAUCCUUCAAAGGUCGAACUGAAAUCACCAGAGAUAAUUCAAAGAGUAUGGUGUAUCUGAAACUAUCAGGCCUGACAGCAGAAGACUCAGCCUUGUAUUAUUGUGCAAAGCAAGCACAGUGACACAAAGUCUUGUACGGCUGAACAAAAACCACACUGA